CUGGCCCCACUCGGGCAACGAAGGGGGCAAAAUUACCACGAUGUGACGUAAUUCUCGAUAUGGCUCGCCCACUUGCUGAUUUCAACGUCCCUCGAACGUUUUGUUACUACAUCGAAGGAAAUGAGUCGUGAUUUUUCCACGUCAGCCGCGUUUCUUGUGAUCACAACGUAUCACGAUGCCAGUUAACCACAGUAUCGUGACUCGGCGUAAUGCCCGCAAUUAUCAAACAGAAAAAUGCAUGUAAUAGACGUGAAAAUUGAUGACACGGUGCAAAUGCGAGAAAUAACACAACAAAGUGAACGUCUCAAUUUCUGCGAAAUGCUCCUGGAGGCAAACGAAUUUUUCCAUCUACUCUGCUAUCACGAAAUGCAUUUACCUUUUAAUAUCCGACCCGUGAGCGCAUCCAUCGCGGACGCGUAUUUAAAUCAACC